GAACGCCCCCGGGGGAUCCAGGAGCUCCGCCCGGGACAACAGAGUGAGGUCAGCAAAUCCUGCCCCCCAAAAGCAGCAAUGAUGCAGGACAAAACUGUCAAAAAUAGCCAUUGCAGGCCUCUGGAAAUAGACCAAAUGCAUACAGCAAGCUGAGAAGCAUUUAUUAAUGGAAAUUACUAAAUAUCAAGUAAGAACAGUAUGAAUCUGUGGCAUGUUUGCCUAUGUGUGGUCCUAUUCUUGAGAGCAACAAAGGAAAUAUGACUGAUGACUGACUUCUCAUCAGAAAAAUGGAGGCCCAAGGUAGAGGAAUGACAUAUGCAAAACGCUGGGAUAAAGCCAACCGCCAACCAAGAAUUUUAUAUGUACCAAAUAUCAAAAAUAAAAGUCAAAUAAAUACA